GACGUAGGGCGCGAGCGUUUGUCCGGAUUUAUUGGGCGUAAAGAGCUCGUAGGCGGCUUGUUGCGUCAGCUGUGAAAACCCGCAGCUCAACUGUGGGCUUGCAACUGAUACGGGCAGGCUUGAGUUCGGUAGGGGAGACUGGAAUUCCUGGUGUAGCGGUGGAAUGCGCAGAUAUCAGGAGGAACACCGGUGGCGAAGGCGGGGUCUCUGG
rnacentral:rRNA from 1 species